rnacentral:tRNA from 1 species
GGGGGCCGAGCCGGAAUCGCUUGGCCUCGCAUUCACACUGCAGGGGGCGCAAGUUCGAAACUUGCACUUCCCACCA